rnacentral:rRNA from 1 species
UACGGAGGGUGCAAGCGUUAUCCGGAUUCACUGGGUUUAAAGGGUGCGUAGGUGGGUUGGUAAGUCAGUGGUGAAAUCCCCGAGCUUAACUCGGGAACUGCCAUUGAUACUAUCAGUCUUGAAUACCGUGGAGGUCAGCGGAAUAUGUCAUGUAGCGGUGAAAUGCUUAGAUAUGACAUAGAACACCAAUUGCGAAGGCAGCUGGCUACCCGAAUAUUGACACUGAGGCACGAAAGCGUGGGGAUCAAACAGG